rnacentral:rRNA from 1 species
UUCCGGUUGAUCCCGCCGGAGGUUACUGCUAUCGAGGUUCGACUAAGCCAUGCGAGUCGAAUGUAGCAAUACAUGGCGAACUGCUCAGUAACACGUGGACAACCUGCCCUUAGGUUGGGUAUAAACCCGGGAAACUGGGUAUAAUACCCGAUAGGUCUCGAUUGCUGGAAUGCAUCGAGAUUUAAAGCUCCGGCGCCUAAGGAUGGGUCUGCGGCCUAUCAGGUAGUAGUGGGUGUAGCGUACCUACUAGCCUACGACGGGUACGGGUUGUGAGAGCAAGAGCCCGGAGAUGGAUUCUGAGACACGAAUCCAGGCCCUACGGGGUGCAGCAGGCGCGAAAACUUUACAAUGCUGGCAACAGCGAUAAGGGAACCUCGAGUGCCAGGUUACAAAUCUGGCUGUCGAGAUGCCUAAAAAGCAUUUCAUAGCAAGGGCCGGGCAAGACCGGUGCCAGCCGCCGCGGUAACACCGGCGGCUCGAGUGGUAACCGUUAUUAUUGGGUCUAAAGGGUCUGUAGCCGGCCGGAUAAGUCUCUUGAGAAAUCUGGCAGCUUAACUGUCAGGCUUUCAGGAGAUACUGUCUGGCUCGAGGCCGGGAGAGGUGAGAGGUACUUCAGGGGUAGGGGUGAAAUCUUGUAAUCCUUGAAGGACCACCAGUGGCGAAGGCGUCUCACCAGAACGGACCUGACGGCAAGGGACGAAAGCUAGGGGCACGAACCGGAUUAGAUACCCGGGUAGUCCUAGCCGUAAACGAUACUCGCUAGGUGUCGGCCACGGUGCGACCGUUGUCGGUGCCGUAGGGAAGCCGUGAAGCGAGCCACCUGGGAAGUACGGCCGCAAGG